CCUACGGGUGGCAGCAGUGAGGAAUAUUGGUCAAUGGGCUUACGCCUGAACCAGCCAAGUCGCGUGAGGGAAGACUGCCCUAUGGGUUGUAAACCUCUUUUGUCAGGGAGCAAUUGGCGCUACGUGUAGCCUUAUCAAUAGUCCCUGAAGAAAAACCUUCGGCUACCCCCGUGCCAGCAGCAGGGUGAAUACGGAGGAUCUGAGCGUUAUCCGGAUUUAUUGGGUUUAAGGGGUGCGUAGGCGGAAUGCCAAGUCAGCGGUAAAGUCGCGGGGCUCAACCUCGCUCCGCCGUUGAAACUGGCGUUCUUGAGUGGGCGAGAAGUAUGCGGAAGGCGUGGUGUAGCGGUGAAAUGCAUAGAUAUCACGCAGAACUCCGAUUGCGAAGGCAGCAUACCGGCGCCCAACUGACGCUGAAGCACGAAAGCGUGGGUAUCGAACAGGAUUAGAUACCCCAGUAGUC
rnacentral:rRNA from 1 species